CAGAGAAUUGAAAUGAGUGCAGUGGUGUUAUUGAACAAACUGAAACCAGCCGUGAGCGUAACGCUCCGGUCAUGGAGCCCCAGAAUCUCUCACAUUCAUCCACCGGUGAUCGAUCACGGAACCGCUGCAUUCAGUUCCCGCCGAUUCUACAGCGCACUGCUGUUCAGACAGUUGUUUGAAGCUGAAAGCAGCACAUACACAUACCUGCUGGCCGAUGCAGACACCAGAGAGGCCGUUCUCAUCGAUCCUGUGCUAGAAACAGUGGACAGAGACCUGAAGCUCAUCAAUGAACUGGGCCUUAAACUUACAGUGGCCGCGAAUACUCACUGUCAUGCGGAUCACAUCACUGGCACUGGACGGCUGAAGAAGAAUGUGUUUGGAUUGAAGAGUGCCAUCUCCAAACACAGCGGGGCCACUGCAGACAUACAGCUCUCUGACGGAGACCAAAUCACUUUCGGAAAACAUUGUCUGACGGUGCGCGAGACUCCGGGACACACGGAUGGAUGUGUGACGUACGUCACUGGAGAUCUAUGUAUGGCAUUCACCGGAGACGCGCUCCUCAUACGGGGCUGCGGACGGACAGACUUUCAGCAAGAUCACAGGAGCAGUGUGAAGUUCCCUGCUGCUUCAAAUGCUCCACCAUCAUCCCUGUCCCGAAGAAACCCAAAAUCACACGACUCACAGACCUGUCGCCCUGACGUCUGUGGUCAUGAUGUUAUUUGAGAGGCUGGUGUUGGGCCAUCUGAAGGACAUCACUGGACCCUUUCUGGAUCCUCUUCAAUUUGCUUAUCGAGCAAUCAGGUCUGUAGAUGAUGCAGUCAACACGGGUUUGCGUCACGUCCUGCAACAUCUGGACAGACCGGGGACAUACGCAAGGAUCCUUUUUGUGGACUUCAGUUUGGCUUUCAACACCAUCGUUCCAGAAACACUCCAGACUAAACUACACCAGCUCUCUGUUCCCACCUCUAUCUGUCAGUGGAUCACCAACUUUCUGACGGACAGGCAGCAGUUAGUGAGACUGGGGAAAUUCAGUUCCAGCACCUGUACGAUCAGCACUGGUGCCCCCCAGGGAUGUGUGCUCUCCCCACUACUCUUCUCCCUCUACACCAAUGACUGCAAUGCCAAGGACCCCUCUGUCAAGCUCCUGAAGUUUACAGACGACACCACUGUCAUCAGCCUCAUACGAGAAGACUCAAUAUACUGUCCAGCCCUAAUAGUUGUUGUUAUGUUCUUUGUCAGAGGCUCCUCCAUGUGUUUGUCUUUGUUUUUGUAAUACUCUAAAUGUCCACAUGAUGGCUGUACAGUGAAGCUUUUCAUCUGAUGUGUUUCAGGUUGUCCAAAGAGACUGUAUGCGUCUGUGCAUAAGAGGAUUUUCACUCUACCUGGGCAUUGUUUGAUCUACCCCGCGCAUGACUACAAGGGUCAGACCGUGUCCACUGUUGAUGAGGAGAGGAAAUUCAACCCUCGUCUGACGAAA